CAGGCUUUGUACCGGAGUGAGAGAAAAGUAAGAGAAAGAGGGAGGGAGAAGUGGGGGGUUGAAAGAAGCUGGAAGAUAUUAUGAACUAUUUCCUUGCCUAGAAGCUCGGCGCUUGUUUCCUCCCUCUCAGCUGGCAUGAGUUUACAACAAAGUGGAGAAAAAGCUGAAAACUUGAACCUGCUCUCCUCCGGUUGCCUCGGCCUUCCUAGCGGCUCACUUGUUUUCUUUCGCUUUCCCUGCCUGCGCAUGUUUCUCGCUCUCGUUCUCACCCUCCCUCUGCCUCCUUCUCUGGGCUCUAUGUAAGGAGAUCACUUUGUUUCCGUAGCCUUUUUCCGCGGUACUGCAGACACACAUGGAGAAGAGGAUUGAAUUUGAGGAGAUGCAGGGUGGGAGGGCGGGGGGCUUCACAGCUGCAAGAGUCUCCUCCAUCUUCUCCACACCAGGACUAAUGCUCCCCUCCCUCGCCCACUCUCUUCUCUGGGUGUUGGACUCUCCCUCUGCUGCGAUGUCUCUGCUUUUUGCCUGUCAGAGGGGUGGGGGUGCCAUAUGGAAGCUCAGAAAAUUUUAAGCGGAUCGCUGAUAAGUGAAAGGAUUCUUAAAUUUGCAAGCUCAGAUGUCAGGAAGUAUUUGUGAUGAACUUCAAUCUACUGGAAAAUUCCUCCCCUGACCAAGACACAUUCAAGCAUAGUGAUGAGAGAAAAGAGGUAGAAGAAAACCAUGGAGAGGAGGUGGGGUUUAAACCAAGGCCCGGACGUGUUCCCUACCUGUCAGAGUGUACUUAAACGCUGUGCCAGCACUCCCCCCCUGCCCCCAGCCACCCCACCCAGCUCACCAUUAGUAUGCACCAGGUGACACUCAGGUGACAUGGCCGCUGGAUUCGGUCCCAACUACAGGAACAGUGUAGGAAACAAGGAUAACAGGUAAGGACAAUAGGAGCAAGAGAGAGAAACAAAGAGGAGAAGAUGGUGAUAGUCUUCUUUUAUAAAAUGCUCUAAACAAGUCUCCCCCCUGCUGUUUACUCAGUUGAGCUUUAGUUGAGCUGUUGUAAAUCAUUCCUGAAACUACACUCAUCAUCUGUGGAAGUAAAAUCUCAAAUGAAACUGAUGUGUUACACUUUUUCAUCAGUGAAUGUCUUGGUAUUGUAGGUGUUAGUAGAAAAACAAUUGCAGUGUCCUGUUCUGCAUGUUGUAAAUGAUGAUUUUAAUAAACAUCUCUGAAUAAACA